AUCCCAUAAUGAGGAAACUUAUCAAGCAAUUCCUUGAAUCUUUCCCACGCCUUGUAUAAGGACUCAUCAUCCAAUUAUUGAAAAGUAGUUAUCUCAUUUCGCAACUU
rfam:Gossypium hirsutum cultivar TM-1 chromosome 17, whole genome shotgun sequence